AACGAACGCUGGCGGCAUGCCUAACACAUGCAAGUCGAACGAGACCUUCGGGUCUAGUGGCGCACGGGUGCGUAAAGCGUGGGAACCUGCCCUUAGGUUCGGAAUAACUCCCCGAAAGGGGUGCUAAUACCGGAUAAUGUUUUCGGACCAAAGAUUUAUCGCCUUUGGAUGGGCCCGCGUUGGAUUAGCUAGUUGGUAGGGUAAAAGCCUACCAAGGCGACGAUCCAUAGCUGGUCUGAGAGGAUGAUCAGCCACACUGGGACUGAGACACGGCCCAGACUCCUACGGGAGGCAGCAGUGGGGAAUAUUGGACAAUGGGCGAAAGCCUGAUCCAGCAAUGCCGCGUGAGUGAUGAAGGCCUUAGGGUUGUAAAGCUCUUUUACCCGGGAUGAUAAUGACAGUACCGGGAGAAUAAGCUCCGGCUAACUCCGUG
rnacentral:rRNA from 1 species